AUGUACAUGGCUUUCCAGGUGGACGAACAUACGUUCAAGGUGUGUUCUAUCAUGGGCAUGUCAGAUUCAGAACCUGAAGACCCAGACAAGGGAAGGAACUACUUUGUGAAGGCAUCGAUGAGCGAAGGCGAAUAUUACUGCCAAUGCUGCAAAUUCAAACGGGACGGGAUUGUGUGCUAUCACAUACUAAAAGUAAUGGACAUGAAUGCGGUGACACGAAUGCCCCGCCAUUUCAUAAGGCGGCGAUGGACUUGGGACGCUGACGACGCAUUGGCGCCGCAAAUAUCAAACGCAGUUUUGGCUGUGCAUGACGAGAGACCAGAGUCAACCAUGGAUGCCGUGAGGCACGUUGUGUUGACAAAGAACUAUGCCGAACUAAUAGAUGAAGCGUGCAAGAGUGAUGAGACAGCGAGGGUCACAGAAAAACACAGGAAGGCCCUGAAAAGAGAGCUUGAUGAGAUCAAGAAGAGAAAAGCUGAGGAAGCCUUACACAGGUUCCCCCAUACCACAAGUGUGCCUUCGUCCACGGGGCCAUCAUCUGAAAACUCGGAGGUAGGAUCUGGAAUAGCAAGCACACAAACCCAGGUCAGGAAUCCGCCCCGUUCCAUCACAAAAGGGCGUCCAAAAGAGAUAAGAUACAAAUCAGGAUUGGAGAUUCAAGCAAAGCACAAGAAAACAAAGAAAGGGACGGGCAAUCCGUAA
rnacentral:rRNA from 1 species